GGUGGGGAGGUGGGCCUGGGGGAAGGGAGGGGGCAGCGUGAGCGAGCAGAGCAGUCCAGGCCCAGGAGGAAGCUGCUCCUCCUCUGAGCACUCCGAUGCCCUCCUCUCCCUCCUUCCCGGUUUUUUGGGUCGGCCCCUUGGUUUCCUUCCUGGAGUUGUGGUGGGUUUCCGGGUGUCAGCAGCGCCCCUGAUUUUGUUGCCCUUUGGUGGCCCCGGGUCUCCCAGGUGUUGGCCGGGCUCCUACGGAGGCUGCCUGCGGCCUGCCCUGCCCCCACUGCUCAGUAUAGUCCUUUUCCUGGUUGGAGGCCCACGGCCGGCUAGAUUUCGACCUGGACUCUCUCAUCUGCGCUUCUCCACCGAGCAGGUGGAAGAGUGGUGGCGGGAAUGCGCCAGCUCUGCCCUCCCUGCGGUGCGCGCUGCGGGGCUGGGAGCAACUGUGCUGGGUUCUGAGGCCCAUGCGGGUGCCUUCUUGGAGUCGCGCCAGCACCAGAAAUCGCCCGGGCUCAAGAGUCCCAAUUAGAGGCGAUGGUAUCGUUUUACAUUCCUAGCAUCAGUGUACGAGGCCCAGUUCCUCCACAUCCUCGCCAACACGUGGUAUGUACUUUAAUCAGCAUUUAAUGACCCAGUCGAAAAUUCAUUGUUUGGACCCAAGCAGUGGUGGGAAAGGCAGGAGGGGAGGCCUGCCUUCCUUCCUCCCUCCCGAGCCCUGCAGCAGGCCAUGGAGUGGUGAGCAAGUUCGUACAGUGCCAACCACAUUCCCAGAAACUUCCAGCAGAGGUUAAUCCUGCUCCUCUCAGGAAAAAGUGAUUCAGCUCCGGUCCACCCUGGGUGCAGCGGUCCUUCUGCCAAGAUGCCUUCAUAUUAUACAGCUAUUAUUUUCGGGAGGAUUCCAAGUGAGGGCAGUCAGGGUGGGCUUGGCCCAUUCUCUAGACUUUGGAAGGUAAUGUUCUAUAGAGGCCUGUUCUGAAGCUUUACCAGGUCAAACCGGAGAAGAACCCAACAAGUAACUCAUCCCAGCCUAACUAUUCUUCAAGGGCAAUCAACCUACAGCAUCCAAGCACAGAGAAAUCAAAUCCAUGGAGAAUCUUCAAAUUAGGCUCAGAAUCCAUUUGGGUCACUGAAUUUACUGUUAUUAAGAUCUUAGUUGUGUUCAACCAUGAUUUGACAUACCUUAGAGUGAAAAGAUAUUCUUCCUGGCCUCAGACUAGUUGAAGGUAGAGAGAGAGACAGGCCCUUGGGUGUGGGGAGACCUCUCCUGGGAUAAUACACACAAAAAACCAAGAGCUGCUCACUGUGGUGCAGGAGACAGCAGGGCCUGAAGCCAGAGGCUCUCUCUGUGUCCUUGAAUACAAUGCUUUACUCCUCUGACCCCUGUUACUGUGAUUUGGAGAGGCAGACAAUAUAGGAUGGGCUUUGCAGGCAGGGAGGUCCAUUUAUAAUCCCAGCUCUUACUAAGUUGGGUAAGACUCACUCUGAGACUUAGUUUCUUCUGUCAUCUCUCAAUAGAAUCGUAAAGGUACUUUCCUCUUAAUGUUGUUUUAAAAUUCAGUAAAAUAAUGAAGGCUUAGCACAGGGUCUGAUGUAAAUUUUCAGUGAAUUAUUGUUGUCAAUAUUGUUCUGGAAAACAAGAGGGCAUAUUAGAAGAUCAAAAGUACUGCCAAGCAUUGAAGUGCCAAUUCUAGAUCCAGUCUCAGCCCUCUGAGAAUGGAUAUCAUUGUUUUCAAGCCAUUCAGAAACCAAUGUGAAUUGAACACCUAGUAUGAGCUCUCUGAGGGAAGAGCCAAGUCAUGCAUUUUUUAUCUUAAGGGGUCUUCAAUACCUCUAGCCCAAAACAGUAUCUCCAUCAGGAUUCUUCUCUGAUAGUGUUCAUUUCUUUUUUCUCAAUGGAUGCCUUAAAAAAAAAUCCUACAAGGAAACCUAUACUCCUCAAAUACACCACUCAGGUGACCAUUAAAUCAUUUACAUUGUU